rnacentral:lncRNA from 1 species
UUUCUGUACCUGUCAGUGAGUACCUGAAUCAUUAGCAUCCUUCAGUAGAUGCUACCCAAUACACAAAAAUUUAAAAAUUGUUCAUGAUUACAUCACCAAGAUUUAAAAAUUUAAAGUACAAAAAUAUUGUUCUUGGAUCACUAGGGUGCCUCCUAGUAAGCGCUCUUUUUAUGUCACUAGCUUGACUCGGUAGAGUUCAAACACCCAUCAGUAGGUGUUGAUACUCCCCUUGCUUGAUAUUCUUUUCUUUUUCUUCUUCCUGCUGAAUUUCUUCAUAAAGUUGAGAACACCAAGCACAUGUUUCCAUGUUUCAACCAUAGGAACUUUAAUCUCCAAUUUCUUGAAGAUCUCCAUAAAGCACUUGACCUUCUUUUCCUUCCUAUGAUAUUUUUUUGAAUGAGGAAGGGGUUUUUCAUAUGAUCUUUUCUUCUUUCCUCUCUUCCUCUUUUUCUCACUUUUCUCCUCCCUCACCUUUCUCUUUUUCGUUUUUCUUUCUUUCUUUAUUUUCACAAUUUUUCUCUUUGUUUCUUUUCUCUCAACCACUACUUUUUCCUUAUCAUCAUUUUUAUCCCCCUCACUUAACUUUUCUUCUUCCUCUCCAUCUCUCUCUAUCUCUAUUUUCUUCUCAUCAACAUCCUUAUCACUUUCAGAGAUAGUGGCUUGACAUUCCUCCCUAGGGUUAACUUCAGUACUAACCCUAGAAUCAUUCAGAGAUGCAGUCACACAAUCUAAUUCUAUCUCCUUCCUUUUACAUCUUGCAUCAUCACAUUCUGAAAAGUAAAUAAUAUUCUGCAGUACUUGUUGGAAUGUAUCUUCACGGCUUUCUGAUGGAGAUAAUUGCUACCAAUGUUGUUUAUUUUCCUCCAGCCAAUGUUGUUCAGCUUCCCCCA